rnacentral:lncRNA from 1 species
CCUCCGAGGACCGAGGCUAUCACAGUUUUCUUACCUGGGCCAUCUGUCGCCAUCCGGGCCCCGGGAGGUGUUUGCAGAUUUUAGAAGAUGGAGAAGUUCAUGACACCUGUCAUCCAGGACAACCCCUCAGGCUGGGGUCCCUGUGCCAUCCCUGAGCAGUUUCGGGAUAUGCCCUACUAGCCAUCCAACAAGGAGAUUGGCUGGGGAAGGCUGCAGACUGGACAGCGACCACAUACCAGGACAAGAAGUAUACAAGCAAGUACUCCUCUCAGUCCAAUGGGAGAAGUCAGUAUACGUAUUUCCAUGAGGGGGAUGAGACAAGCUUCCAGCUGCUAGACACGUCGCAUACAGAGAAGGCUGCCUACCAGCGGAACUGGAUGAAAUUCGCACAGCUGAACCCCCACAGAGACAAAGAUGGGAGGAACAUGGAGCAGUUCAACCUACAGUAUAGGCACACUAUGGCCCAAGAGUGCCAACCAGAAAGAGAGAGAACAAAUUCGCUUGCAGAAAAAAAAAUUCCAGAAGCAAUUUGGAGUCAGGCAAUAAUGGGACUAGAAGUCACAGAAACCCCGAGACUCCUCAGCUGAAGUUCACAGUGACUGGGAGGGGAAGGAGGAGAUGGACUUCCCUCAGCUGAUGAAGACGCGCUACUUGGAAGCGUCAGAGCCUCAGGACAUUGAGUGCUGCGGAGCACUGGAGUAUGAUGACAAAGCCUUUGACCGCAUCACCACGAGGAGUGAGAGGCCUCUGGGGAGCACCAAGAGCAUCUUUCCACACUGUCACCACCACUGAGGACCCUGUCAUUCGGAAGCCGGCAAAAAUGCAGGGCAAUGUGUUUGUCACUGACGCCAUCCUGGCCACACCGAUGAGCUGCGCCCACUCUGUACCCCUGGGACAUCACCAUCCGGAGAGUAGGAUCUAAACUCUUCUUUGACAAGAGGGAUGACUCUGACUUUGAUCUCUUAUCUUCGAGUAAGACAGCCAAGGAGCCCCCUCAAGAUGAAGUCAAUCCCUUCAGCUCAUCUUGGAGCCUGGCUGUGGACGCCACCUGCAUGGACCACGGUUUCUCCCAUCAGUGCCUGUGGAGGACGACAUGGAUAAGAAUGAGAUCGCCUCCGUUGCCUACGGUUCCGCAGGUGUAGAAGUGACAUUGACCUUCUUGUCCACUGUGAACAUGAUGGCGUCAUGACUGGGGCCAAAGGGGGAGAAGCGUCCUUCAUCAACAUCAAGACGCUCAAUGAAUGGGACUCCAGACACUGUAAUGGCGUUGACUGACUUCAGAAGCUGGACUCUCGGCGUGGGGCUGUCAUCGCCACUGAGUUGAAGAACAACAGCUACAAGCUGGCGUGGUGGAUCAGCUGUGCUUUGCUGGCUGGAUCUGAAGACUCGAAGCUCGAGCAUGUGUCCCGGUACCAGUAAAGGACUCCUCUCGCCAUGCCAUCCUAGGCACCCAGCAGUUUAAGCCCAGUGAUUUUGCCAGCCAGAUCAACCUGAGGGUAGAGAAUGCCUGGGGCAUCCUGUGCUGCAUCAUUGACAUCUGCAUGAAGCUGGAGAAGGGCAGUACCUCAGCCUCAAGGACCCCAACAAGCAGGUCAUCCAGGUCUACAGCUUGCCUGAUGGAGGAGGAGGAGGAGGAGGAGGAGGAGGGAGAGGAGGAAGAAACUUAAGG